UACGGGGGGGGGCAAGCGUUGUCCGGAAUCAUUGGGCGUAAAGGGCGCGUAGGUGGCGGGACAAGCGUGCGGUGAAAGCCUGGGGCUCAACCCCGGGUCGGCCGUGCGAACUGUUUUGCUUGAGCACUGUAGAGGCAGGCGGAAUUCCGGGUGUAGCGGUGGAAUGCGUAGAGAUCCGGAAGAACACCGGUGGCGAAGGCGGCCUGCUGGGCAGUAGCUGACACUGAGGCGCGACAGCGGUGGGGAGCAAACAGG
rnacentral:rRNA from 1 species